CGUAGGUGGCGAGCGUUGUCCGGAAUGACUGGGCGUAAAGGGCGUGUAGGCGGUCCUGUAAGUCUGGGGUGAAAACCGGCGGCUCAACCGCCGGCCUGCUCUGGAAACUGCGGGGCUAGAGUGGGCUAGAGGGCAGCGGAAUUCCCGGUGUAGCGGUGAAAUGCGUAGAGAUCGGGAGGAACACCAGUGGCGAAGGCGGCUGCCGUGGGGCCUAACUGACGCUGAGGCGACGAAAGCGUGGGGGAGCAAACAGGAUU
rnacentral:rRNA from 1 species